rnacentral:rRNA from 1 species
GACGAACGCUGGCGGCGUGCUUAACACAUGCAAGUCGAACGGAAAGGCCCUGCUUUUGUGGGGUGCUCGAGUGGCGAACGGGUGAGCAACACGUGAGUAACCUGCCCUUGACUUUGGGAUAACUUCAGGAAACUGGGGCUAAUACCGGAUAGGAGCUCCUGCUGCAUGGUGGGGGUUGGAAAGUUUCGGCGGUUGGGGAUGGACUCGCGGCUUAUCAGCUUGUUGGUGGGGUAGUGGCUUACCAAGGCUUUGACGGGUAGCCGGCCUGAGAGGGUGACCGGCCACAUUGGGACUGAGAUACGGCCCAGACUCCUACGGGAGGCAGCAGUGGGGAAUAUUGCACAAUGGGCGGAAGCCUGAUGCAGCAACGCCGCGUGCGGGAUGACGGCCUUCGGGUUGUAAACCGCUUUCGCCUGUGACGAAGCGUGAGUGACGGUAAUGGGUAAAGAAGCACCGGCUAACUACGUGCCAGCAGCCGCGGUGAUACGUAGGGUGCGAGCGUUGUCCGGAUUUAUUGGGCGUAAAGGGCUCGUAGGUGGUUGAUCGCGUCGGAAGUGUAAUCUUGGGGCUUAACCCUGAGCGUGCUUUCGAUACGGGUUGACUUGAGGAAGGUAGGGGAGAAUGGAAUUCCUGGUGGAGCGGUGGAAUGCGCAGAUAUCAGGAGGAACACCAGUGGCGAAGGCGGUUCUCUGGGCCUUUCCUGACGCUGAGGAGCGAAAGCGUGGGGAGCGAACAGGCUUAGAUACCCUGGUAGUCCACGCUGUAAACGGUGGGUACUAGGUGUGGGGUCCAUUCCACGGGUUCCGUGCCGUAGCUAACGCUUUAAGUACCCCGCCUGGGGAGUACGGCCGCAAGGCUAAAACUCAAAGGAAUUGACGGGGCCCCGCACAAGCGGCGGAGCAUGCGGAUUAAUUCGAUGCAACGCGUAGAACCUUACCUGGGUUUGACAUGGAUCGGGAGCGCUCAGAGAUGGGUGUGCCUCUUUUGGGGUCGGUUCACAGGUGGUGCAUGGCUGUCGUCAGCUCGUGUCGUGAGAUGUUGGGUUAAGUCCCGCAACGAGCGCAACCCUUGUUCACUGUUGCCAGCACGUUAUGGUGGGGACUCAGUGGAGACCGCCGGGGUCAACUCGGAGGAAGGUGGGGAUGACGUCAAGUCAUCAUGCCCCUUAUGUCCAGGGCUUCACGCAUGCUACAAUGGCUGGUACAGAGAGUGGCGAGCCUGUGAGGGUGAGCGAAUCUCGGAAAGCCGGUCUCAGUUCGGAUUGGGGUCUGCAACUCGACCUCAUGAAGUCGGAGUCGCUAGUAAUCGCAGAUCAGCAACGCUGCGGUGAAUACGUUCCCGGG